AGAGUGAACGCUGGCGGUGUGCUUAACACAUGCAAGUCGAACGGUAACAGGUCUUUCGGGAUGCUGACGAGUGGCGAACGGGUGAGUAAUGUAUAGCUAACAUGCCCUUUAGAGGGGAAUAGCCACUAGAAAUGGUGAUUAAUACCCCAUACUCCUUUUUCUCUCAAGAGUUGAAGGGAAACUUUUUGGCUAAGGGAUUGGGCUAUAUGGUAUCAGCUUGUUGGUGGGGUAACGGCUCACCAAGGCUAUGGCGCUUAGCUGGUCUGAGAGGAUGAUCAGCCACACUGGAACUGAGACACGGUCCAGACUCCUACGGGAGGCAGCAGUGGGGAAUAUUGGGCAAUGGGCGAAAGCCUGACCCAGCAACACCGCGUGGAGGAAGACACCCUUAGGGGCGUAAACUCCUUUUAUAGCCGAUGAUA
rnacentral:rRNA from 1 species